CCACGCUCAACUGAAGAAGAAGAAGAACAUGUUGAUAUAUCCAAUCUUCCGCCGGAUCCUGCAGACCGUAAGCCAAUUUCCCAAUACAAAACUGCCAAAGUUCGUGAUGAUGUGCGAAGAGCUUACCUCCUAAGGGGCCCAUGCCAACCUGAUGGACAUGUUUUCCGUCAAACUGAUUUCAGUGGAAUUCAACAUCGUUUUAACAAAGAAUGGUUCAAGACAUACAAGCCUUGGUUGGAGUAUAGUAUAAAGGAAGAUGCUGCAUUUUGUCUUGUCUGCUACUUGUUUCAAAAUGAAAGUAUAGGACGAGGUGGUGGAGAUGUAUUUUCAUCUAAGGGCUGGAGAAAUUGGAAUAACCUAAAGAGAUUGGAUGUCCACGUUGGCGGUCCUUUGAGUACUCAUAAUCAGAAUAUGGAGCGAUGUGAUGACCUUAUGAACCAGAAUCAAUCAAUUGCAGCUAAUGUACGCAAGCAAACAAAAAAAUCCAAGAUAGAAUGUGGCUGCUGUUGCUUUGAAGAAUGCUCCUAA
rnacentral:rRNA from 1 species